rnacentral:rRNA from 1 species
CUACGGGGUGCUGCAGUGAGGAAUUUUGCGCAAUGGGGGAAACCCUGACGCAGCAACGCCGCGUGAGUGAAGAAGGCCCUUGGGUCGUAAAGCUCUGUCAAUGGGGAAGAAAUUAAUUCAUAUUAAUAGUAUGUUUUAUUGACGGUACCCAUGGAGGAAGCACCGGCUAACUCCGUGCCAGCAGCCGCGGUAAUACGGGGGGUGCAAGCGUUAUUCGGAAUUAUUGGGCGUAAAGGGCACGCAGGCGGUCCUGUCAGUCAGAUGUGAAAGCCCGGGGCUCAACCCCGGACGUGCAUUUGAAACAGCAGGACUCGAGUACGGGAGAGGAAAGGGGAAUUCCUGGUGUAGAGGUGAAAUUCGUAGAUAUCAGGAGGAACACCGGUGGCGAAGGCGCCUUUCUGGACCGAUACUGACGCUGAGGUGCGAAGGCGUGGGUAGCGAACGGGAUUAGAUACCCGCGUAGUC